rnacentral:rRNA from 1 species
GAUGAACGCUGGCGGCGUGCCUAAUACAUGCAAGUCGAGCGAACAGAUGAGGAGCUUGCUCCUCUGACGUUAGCGGCGGACGGGUGAGUAACACGUGGAUAACCUACCUAUAAGACUGGGAUAACUUCGGGAAACCGGAGCUAAUACCGGAUAAUAUAUUGAACCGCAUGGUUCAAUAGUGAAAGACGGUUUUGCUGUCACUUAUAGAUGGAUCCGCGCCGCAUUAGCUAGUUGGUAAGGUAACGGCUUACCAAGGCAACGAUGCGUAGCCGACCUGAGAGGGUGAUCGGCCACACUGGAACUGAGACACGGUCCAGACUCCUACGGGAGGCAGCAGUAGGGAAUCUUCCGCAAUGGGCGAAAGCCUGACGGAGCAACGCCGCGUGAGUGAUGAAGGUCUUCGGAUCGUAAAACUCUGUUAUUAGGGAAGAACAAAUGUGUAAGUAACUAUGCACGUCUUGACGGUACCUAAUCAGAAAGCCACGGCUAACUACGUGCCAGCAGCCGCGGUAAUACGUAGGUGGCAAGCGUUAUCCGGAAUUAUUGGGCGUAAAGCGCGCGUAGGCGGUUUUUUAAGUCUGAUGUGAAAGCCCACGGCUCAACCGUGGAGGGUCAUUGGAAACUGGAAAACUUGAGUGCAGAAGAGGAAAGUGGAAUUCCAUGUGUAGCGGUGAAAUGCGCAGAGAUAUGGAGGAACACCAGUGGCGAAGGCGACUUUCUGGUCUGUAACUGACGCUGAUGUGCGAAAGCGUGGGGAUCAAACAGG